UGGGGAAUAUUGCGCAAUGGGGGGAACCCUGACGCAGCCAUGNCGCGUGAAUGAAGAAGGCCUUAGGGUUGUAAAGUUCUUUCGGUAUUGAGGAAGGUUGAUGUGUUAAUAGCACAUCAAAUUGACGUUAAAUACAGAAGAAGCACCGGCUAACUCCGUGCCAGCAGCCGCGGUAAUACGGAGGGUGCGAGCGUUAAUCGGAAUAACUGGGCGUAAAGGGCACGCAGGCGGUUAUUUAAGUGAGGUGUGAAAGCCCCGGGCUUAACCUGGGAAUUGCAUUUCAGACUGGGUAACUAGAGUACUUUAGGGAGGGGUAGAAUUCCACGUGUAGCGGUGAAAUGCGUAGAGAUGUGGAGGAAUACCGAAGGCGAAGCNAGCCCCUUGGGAAUGUACUGACGCUCAUGUGCGAAAGCGUGGGGAGCAAACAGGAUUAGAUACCCUGGUAGUCCACGCUGUAAACGCUGUCGAUUUGGGGGUUGGGGGUUUAACUCUGGCGCCCGUAGCUAACGUGAUAAAUCGACCGCCUGGGGAGUACGGCCGCAAGGUUA
rnacentral:rRNA from 1 species